CACUCCUCGCUGACAUUGACUCGCUUCCAUUUCAAAAUCAUUUCCCUUUCUGACCUGAUUCUUCUUCUACUCCGCGGGACGCGGAUGGGACGGCAGAUUUGGAAGCUUUGGAUGUGUUCGUGAAACGUGGAUUUUUGACUCGAGUUGAAGUUGUGCGCAGCGGUGAGUAGUGUGGGGGAAGAUGGGAUUUUUUAGCACGGUGUCGGGCUUCUUCGGGUUUGGAGUGGGGCUGACUGUGGGGAUCGUUGCUGGAUACUACCUCUUCGUCUACUUCCUGUCCUCUGAUGUCGAUCAGGAUCCUAAGAUUCGUCCACUUGUUGAACAUGAAACGCAAUCACUGGAACGUAUAUUUCCUGAAAUUCCUCUAUGGGUAAAGAGUCCAGACUAUGAACGGAUUGAUUGGUUGAAUAACUUUCUCGCACUAAUGUGGCCAUACCUCGAUAAGGCUAUCUGCAAGACUGCUAAGCAAAUUGCAGAUCCUAUUAUUGCCGAGAAUACUGCAAAGUACAAUAUUAAUUCUGUUGAAUUUGAAAAAUUCACUCUUGGUUCACUGCCACCAACUUUUCAAGGAAUGAAAGUUUACAGUACAGAUGAGAAGGAACUUAUUAUGGAACCAUCACUUAAAUGGGCUGGGAAUCCCAAUGUAACUAUCGCUGCCAAAGCCUAUGGAUUAAAAUUGUCUAUACAGGUUGUAGAUUUACAAAUCUUUGCUUCUCCACGAAUUACUUUAAAACCAUUGGUCCCUAGCUUCCCUUGUUUUGCAAAUAUCUUUGUGUCCCUCAUGGAGAAGCCACAUGUUGACUUUGGAUUAAAACUUGUUGGGGCUGAUCUUAUGGCCAUUCCUGGCCUUUACAGAUUUGUUCAGGAGACCAUAAAGAAACAAGUUGCAAAUAUGUAUCUGUGGCCUAAAUACCUACAAGUGCCUGUACUUGAUGCUUCAAAAGCCUCAAAUAAGCCUGUUGGAAUGCUGCAUGUGAAGAUUGUCAGUGCACAUAAACUAAGAAAGAAAGAUUUAUUUGGCAAAUCAGAUCCGUAUGUGAAACUUAAGCUUUCAGACGAUAAACUUCCGUCAAAGAAGACAACCAUCAAGAAGAGCAACUUAAACCCUGAGUGGAACGAAGAAUUCAAUUUUGUUAUAAGAGACCCAGAAAAUCAACAAUUGGACCUUAGUGUUUAUGACUGGGAACAGGUGGGAAAACAUGAAAAAAUGGGCAUGAAUGUUAUUCGGUUAAAUGAACUUAACGCUGAUGAGCCAAAAAUUUUAACACUCGACUUGGUGAAGAGUCUUGAUAGUAUUGAGGUUCAGAAUGACAAAUUUCGUGGGCAGAUUGUUGUGGAAGCAACAUACAAGCCUUUUAAGGAAGAUAAAUUGUUAGAGGUUGAUAGUGAGAAGGCUAAUGGAGUACACGCUCCUAAUAGUACUCCUACAGGUGGUGGCGUGCUUGUUGUUACCAUUCAUGAAGCUCAAGAUCUUGAGGGAAAGCACCAUACGAACCCCUAUGUGCGUCUUACCUUUAGAGGAGAGGCGAAGAAAACUAAGGUAUUUUGUGAACCAGCAUAUCAAGAAAAACAGAGAUCCAAGAUGGGAAGAAGUACACCAAUUUGUAUGUGAGGAGCCUCCUAUCAAUGAGAGAAUACAAGUGGACGUACAUAGCAAGGCACCGAGUAUUGGUAUACACUCCAAGGAAAACUUGGGGCAUGUCAUCAUUAACCUUGCAGAUGUGGUACACAACAGGAGAACCAAUGAGACAUAUCAUCUAAUUGACUCGAAAAAUGGAAGAAUUCAGAUAGAAAUGGAGUGGAUUACUUCUUAGAGUUUCAUCUAUUGAGCUAAUCCCCGCACUGAUUUGAUAUGAAAAAAUUAUGCGGGAUGAGCAAUGCUGUUGUGAUAUCAAGGUUGCAGAAUACUGAUGAUUGAGACGACGAGCCUUGUAGAUAUUUGAUUGCUUUCUUUCAACGGAGUUACAUUGCUUUUGAGACUUCGGGAAACAGGUUUCAUGUUGCAACAAUAAUCAUGUUUUCAUUCGAGUGUAUGGAUAUUGAUGAUGAUUGAGACGACGAGCCUUGUAGAUAUUUGAUUUCUUCCUUCCAAUAGAGUUACAUUGUGUUUGUGUCUUCAGAAACAGAUUUCAUGUUCCAACAACAAUUGUGUUUUCAUUUGCCGAAUGGUUUGCCCGAAUAACA